CAAGUUCACCAUCAGAUUUUUCUCAACUUUCUACAAAAUCAAAUGGUUAAAAAAAAUGCAAGACAAAUUAAAAAAAAUAAAAAAUCAAAUUUUCAGUUACACCAAGUCUCUGUUUUGACAGUAUACUUUAACUGAAAGGUAAAUUUAGCAGCUGUUCGCAUCAGUACCAGAGGUCCACAUCAGUCCCUUUAUCUUCUGCUAUUUAACCCAUGUAACUUGUCAAUACACUGUUUAAAAAAAAAAAAUUGUAAAUUAGAACUUUAUCUUUACCAAGUAUUGUGUCAUCUCUUUGACAAGUAUAUUUUCUACUUCUGUGGUAUUUAGACGACGAUUUGGGAGGCCUCCCUGCAGGGAACAUUUUCUCCUGCAAAAAUUAUUCGUUUUAGUGGAUACACACAGGGCAAGCUGUCAAAUUUAUAAAUAUGCUGGCAUAAUGUGGAGGGCAUAUAGGUUAGAUUGCGCGUUUAGGUUAGAAAAUAUACUUGGCAAAGAGACAACACAAGACUUGAUAAAGAAUAAGUUCAUAUUUACAACUUUUUUUUUUUAAUGUAUUGACAAGUAACUGGGCUGAAUAUCAGAAGAUGGAGGAACUGAUGUGGACCUUUGGUACUGAUGCUAACAGAUGCUAAAUUUACCUCAGUUGAAGUAUGCUGUUAAGUCUGAGACUAGGGAAACUGAAAAUUUGUUUUGUUUUGUUUUUUUUAAUCCUGUCUUCUUUUUUUAACCUUGAUUUUGUAAAACGUUUAUGAAGGUGAAGCUGAUGAUGGUCUUGAAGGUGUAGUUGAGGAACAGGUGUAGCACUGUAGCAAACUGUCCACUCAAGUGGCAGGGUAUUAAUUUAAUUCACUGGUGUUUAAUGUUGGUAAACUGUGUACCAGUGUUUUAUGGUCGGUGUAGUUGGGUGGUGGUGUUGGUGGGUGAUGGUGUAGCUCUGAUUGACUGAUGUGGUAAGAUCAGUCAGUCCAACAGGUAAGAUCUUCUCAGUGGUUCUGGAUCCAAACCAGCUGUUGAACUUCUGGCCUCCUGGACUGUUGGGUGGAAGUGGACCAGGUGGACCAACUCCUGAGUCGAAAGAUCUUCUCAGCCACAGGAAGUCUUCAGGGUUCUAAGACUGCUGCAGGGUUGACCUUGGAUAAGUGGGUUCUGUGCUGUCUGUUCACACGGCAGACCAAAGUUUGACCAUGAUCUGGACGGACCCCAGAGAGCUGGAGUGGACUAAAUAUGUUAACUGGACCUUUUCUACUACCACACAUGUACAGGAUGACCCCCGCCUCCCCUGAAGAGACCAUUAAAGACGUCAGACCUGAGACUAUGGACCUUGGAGAAACUACAUCCUGGUCUGGACUGCAGCCAAGAAGAUCCUGUCCUGCCUCCGUCCUACUGGGUGUCUGAAGGUUCUGCCCCCCCACCCCUCAGGACCCGUGCUGACGACAGUUGACAGGAUCGUCCACUCCUGGUCCCUGAUUGGCUGUAUAUGGAUUUAUAUUGUGACUGUUUCCAGAUGAUCAUGUUGUUACAUAGAUGUUCUAAGAUCUGGUCUUUGGUCACUGAUGAAUUAAACUAAACUUAAUCCUAGAUUUAUUUCUGCUUUAGUUUAAAAUCAGUCAGAGUUUCAUGAACUGGAUUUCCUUCACACACCCCCACACCCCUCCCCCCUUCACACUCUUCUCCCCUUCACGUCCCCCUUCUUCUUGGUGCUUAACGAAAUCCAGUCGUGAAUUCUUACUGAGUGCUGUACCAUGGUACCAAGUUUCCAAAAUCAGACCUGGAUCCGUCUGGUUUUGGGACCUGGUACCAACUAGUUAAUGUGUAGUUAUUUAGAACAGAAUGAAGAUCUUGAUUAUGAUCAAGUCUUUGUAGUUGUUUCAUCAGUGGCCUCUGGUCCAGAUCAAGGACUACACAUGAGAACCACGGUGACUCAGUUCACAGUUGCCUUGUCUGUUUUGUUUGUUUUUUUUUGUUUGAGUUGGAGGAUUUAUUUUUGUUUAGUUUUUUUGGACUGUGACCUCUGUUCCUUUUAGUAACACUUUGAUUUGAGAUGUCAAAAUAAACUACGUUCAAUAUAAAAUGAAAUGGAAAUGAUUCUUUCUAACUUAUUUUAGAAUCUAGUCACGGGCCAGAUUUGAUGGUUCAGUGGGCUGGAUUUGGGCCGCGGGCCACCUGUUGAUCACUGCUCUAUACUUGGUAUAUCCUCUAGCUUUCUUAAACAUUUUUAAGCCUUGGUUUAAAAAGAGAAGAAAACUAGAUGUUGUAGUUUUGGGUGCAUUCGUCUUAGAGGAAACAUGGGAAGUGAUGCAGUGCGGUCACAUGAAGUCUUGUGUAACUUUCUGUGACUCGGCCUCAGUCGAACUGCUGCUGACUCUGAAGGUUAGGGUUUGUACCAGAGUGAACUUUCCAUGUGAUUCCACCUGAUCAGCCCUGACGCCGGUCAGGCUGUGUUCUCACUCUGAGACGCCGUUCUCAGCCUCUGUCGUUCUGUAGGAACAACAAUGGUGACAUACAAGUCUAUGGCUGCUGGUGGACAGAGAACGGCGUCUCUGU